UACAGAGGUCUCAAGCGUUGUUCGGAUUCAUUGGGCGUAAAGGGUGCGUAGGUGGUGAUGCAAGUCUGGUGUGAAAUCUCGGAGCUCAACUCCGAAAUUGCACCGGAUACUGCGUGACUCGAGGACUGUAGAGGAGAUCGGAAUUCACGGUGUAGCAGUGAAAUGCGUAGAUAUCGUGAGGAAGACCAGUUGCGAAGGCGGAUCUCUGGGACAGUUCCUGACACUGAGGCACGAAGGCCAGGGGAGCAAACGGG
rnacentral:rRNA from 1 species